AUGAACGCUGGCGGCGUGCCUAAUACAUGCAAGUCGAGCGAACAGACGAGGAGCUUGCUCCUUUGACGUUAGCGGCGGACGGGUGAGUAACACGUGGAUAACCUACCUAUAAGACUGGGAUAACUUCGGGAAACCGGAGCUGAUACCGGAUAACAUGUUGAACCGCAUGGUUCAACAGUGAAAGACGGUCUUGCUGUCACUUAUAGAUGGAUCCGCGCCGCAUUAGCUAGUUGGUAAGGUAACGGCUUACCAAGGCAACGAUGCGUAGCCGACCUGAGAGGGUGAUCGGCCACACUGGAACUGAGACACGGUCCAGACUCCUACGGGAGGCAGCAGUAGGGAAUCUUCCGCAAUGGGCGAAAGCCUGACGGAGCAACGCCGCGUGAGUGAAGAAGGUCUUCGGAUCGUAAAACUCUGUUAUUAGGGAAGAACAAAUGUGUAAGUAACUAUGCACGUCUUGACGGUACCUAAUCAGAAAGCCACGGCUAACUACGUG
rnacentral:rRNA from 1 species